ACACAUGCAGUCGAACGAUGAACUGGAGCUUGCUCCAGGGAUUAGUGGCGAACGGGUGAGUAACACGUGAGUAACCUGCCCUUGACUCUGGGAUAAGCGCUAGAAAUGGCGUCUAAUACCGGAUACGAGCUUCAGCCGCAUGGCUAGGAGUUGGAAAGAAUUUUGGUCAAGGAUGGACUCGCGGCCUAUCAGCUAGUUGGUGAGGUAAUGGCUCACCAAGGCGACGACGGGUAGCCGGCCUGAGAGGGUGACCGGCCACACUGGGACUGAGACACGGCCCAGACUCCUACGGGAGGCAGCAGUGGGGAAUAUUGCACAAUGGGCGAAAGCCUGAUGCAGCAACGCCGCGUGAGGGAUGACGGCCUUCGGGUUGUAAACCUCUUUUAGUAGGGAAGAAGCGAAAGUGACGGUACCUGCAGAAAAAGCACCGGCUAACUACGUGCCAGCAGCCGCGGUAAUACGUAGGGUGCAAGCGUUGUCCGGAAUUAUUGGGCGUAAAGAGCUCGUAGGCGGUUUGUCGCGUCUGCUGUGAAAUCUGGGGGCUCAACCCCCAGCCUGCAGUGGGUACGGGCAGACUAGAGUGCGGUAGGGGAGAUUGGAAUUCCUGGUGUAGCGGUGGAAUGCGCAGAUAUCAGGAGGAACACCGAUGGCGAA
rnacentral:rRNA from 1 species